rnacentral:rRNA from 1 species
AUGGAGGGGGAGAGCCACGCCGCCGCCAACGCCUUCAACGGCGCCCCGACACGCCGCUCGGGGGAGGACGUCAUCGUCCUGUCCUCGGCGACGGCGAGGCCGCCGCGGUCGGUGGAGGCGGUGGUGCUGGUGGACACGGAGGGGGAGGGGCAGGGGCAGGGGCCGCACAUGGAGAUGGAGGCGCCGCCGGAGAAGCUGUACUUCAAGACCAGGCUCUGCGACAAGUACGAGGACACCGGCCGCUGCAUGUACGAGGACAGUUGCACCUACGCGCACGGCCGCGCCGAGCUUCGCCCGCCGGUCCCCCCUGUCGGCGGCUUCGCCGUCGCCGGCGGCGGCAGGGUUGUCAACGGCGGCGGCAAGGUGUGCUUCAACUUCAGGGACACGGGCACCUGCCAUUUCGGGGACAGGUGCGCCUUCCCCCACGCUGCACCAUCAGGUCAUGCGAUUCGCCUCACCGGGGACCAGAAGGUGCUGACAUCCCCAGGGCCGCGCUACGCCGCCCCGGGCACCGCCAGGGCGUACCCGUACCCGCCGGUGAUUCCCCCGGCCGCGCGUGAUCGUCUUGCCCAGAUGACCGAGGAGAACGGUGGCAAAAAGCCCAACAGACUGAUGCUCAUGAGCCAACGGAAGAUCGGCGGCAUCUACGGCGACUGGCCGGAGCAGAAGGAGCAGGAGGAGUGA